UUUGCUUAAAAUAAAAGGUCCAGCCUGCCCAGUGACACUGUUCAACGGCCGCGGUAUCCUAACCGUGCGAAGGUAGCGUAAUCACUUGUUCUUUAAAUGAGGACUAGUAUGAAAGGCACCACGAGAGUCAUACUGUCUCCUCUUUCCAAUCAGUUAAACUAAUCUCCCCGUGAAGAAGCGGGGAUAACUUUAUAAGACGAGAAGACCCUAUGGAGCUUUAAACGAAUAACACUUGCCCCCCUCUCCUUUCAAUUUCAGAAAAAUCUAUUACCUUGGCAUCAUACUUAUAAGUUUUUGAUUGGGGUGAUCACGGAACAAAAAAUAACCUCCGCAAUGAAAGACUCUCCACAACUAAGUCAAGAACCACAACUCUACACAUCAACAAAUUGACACCAAUUGACCCAAUUUAUUGAUCAAUGAAC
rnacentral:rRNA from 1 species